CGGAAAUGUCGUCAACCCUUGCGACGAAAACAAGUUACGUUAUUUCACCUCUCGCGAAAAAAACACGUUUGAAUGUUGUCACAUGAUCCAAAUAGGACAAGCUGCAAGAUCACCACCCCAUUGGGAAGAAACUAAAUCACGACCCCCAAAUGGUAGUCUUCCCAUGCAGAUACAGGGAUGUCACACAGAUCCAAAUGGAAACAUCGAACACUGUAAAACCCACUGUGCAGACAGGACCAAUGGUGACAAUAUAAGACCAUGCCGAGCUUCAUGGACGGUUCAAACUCAUCCUGCCCAGGAACGGCUGAAAACGUUGACAGUCAAUCAACAGGGGGACAUGGAAAGAGAGGAUUGGAAGUGAAAUAGAGGGUUUUUCGGGACAGCCAUAGGGGAAGGACUGUGGCAUCUUCAUGUUGGUAGACUGAUAUGCCAACUCUGAGGAAGUGGUGGUGUAUAUUGCUAGUGGACAAUUUCAAACUUGGGUGCAUGGUGAGCCACAGGAAAGAGUUUGCCCAUUGGACAGAUAAGGCAAAAGCAUUACUGCAGGGUGAAGUGCCACCAGUCUAUCAGCUACAGAAGUGAAAUUUGAAUAUAAUUGCUGAGGUCAGCUUUUAAAGACUUUUUAGUGUCCAUUACUCUGACGCACUU